rnacentral:hammerhead_ribozyme from 1 species
CACCAGCUGACGAGUCCCAAAUAGGGUGAAACGUACGUCCUAGAC